rnacentral:rRNA from 1 species
GGUCGUCGCUCAACGGAUAAAAGGUACCCCGGGGAUAACAGGCUGAUCGCUCCCGAGCGUCCAUAGCGGCGGAGCGGUUUGGCACCUCGAUGUCGGCUCAUCACAUCCUGGGGCUGAAGGCGGUCCCAAGGGUUGGGCUGUUCGCCCAUUAAAGUGGUACGCGAGCUGGGUUCAGACCGGCGUGAGCCAGGUCGGUCCCUAUCUGCUGUGGGCGUAGGAAUGUUGAGAGGAGACAAUCUUAGUACGAGAGGAUUGGAUUGGACGUACCCCUGGUGUGCCAGUUGGACCGCUCGGUCCAUAGCUGGGUAGCUACGUACGGCAGGGAUAACCGCUGAAAGCAUCUAAGCGGGAAGCCCACCUCAAGAUGAACAUUCCAUGUCGCAAGACGAGAGACCCCCGGUAGACCACCGGGUUGAUAGGACGCGUGUGUAAGCGGAGAGAUCCGUUUAGCUAAGCGUUACUAACGGUCGACGUCUUGGCCAU